CGAGACCGUGCCACUGCACUCCAGCCUGGGUGACAGAGCGAGACUCCGUCUCAAAAAAAAUCUGGUAAGCACAUAUCAAAUGAGGCUGUGUUAAGUGACCUUUAGUUGGUCCAUCAUCUUGAAGUCCAAACUCCACAAAAGCAGACGUCAUGUUCAAGCACUGAUCAUUUUCAAAUGGCUCCCAGUUCCAAGGCUCAAGAGGGUGUGGGGAAGAGGAAGACAGAUCAGUCGCAGGAGCUGAGGCUGGUCUCAGCCUUGGUGAGAGGCACCACUUUGCACUUCGUGCAGUGGCAUAGACACCAGUGGCCCACAGAGGCAGGGAGAAGGAGUCCACUCGUGGCCCCAUUCUUGAGCAGCAGCCAGAGUGCCAGUCCCAGCAGCACAGGCCCACGGAGCUGCUCCUGUUGACAAGGCUGUGUCAUGGAUUGACUGCCUUCCUAAUAAGCUUGUUUGCAACCUUGGGAGAACAGAAAGGUUCUAGGCCAGUGUGAACACCCUGCUGUGAGUCAUGCGCUGUACCUGUGCUCAAAGACCCAGGAGAAGAACCUGCUGUCCCUUUGUGGCCUGGACCUGGGCCAGCCCCAAGAGCCUGCCUCACUUUAUGGAGAAGCCGGCCACCCCACCUGAAGCACACACCACAAUUAAGGAUGCGUUUCUUCAGCUAGGAGAGCCGGCAGCACCCGGUAGGAGUCUACAUCAGAUCUGAGGCAGGGCAAUUCCUGAACAGACCGUCAGCGAAGCGGAGCUGGGAAGCAGGUUAGAAACUGCAGAGUGUAGUUUUCUAAUGACACUGCCCCAUCUACUGGUAGCAGGCAGACAUGCUGCUUGGUGGGAUGGUUUCUCAUCAAACCGGAUAAGCCUGUGGCUGAAACUACACAGCUGGAAGGAAAUGCUGCAAUCAAGAGUCCCAGCCCCAAACUCAGCAUGCAGAAGUCAGCCUUCUGUCUCGCAGAGGCUUCGGACCGGCCUCCUCCCACCUCCUGUCUUACAUAAUGCUCCUUCCCUCGCCCCCUCCUCCAGCAUCCCACUCAGAGGACAUUGGCUUCAGAGAUGACACAUGACGAAUCUGGAAUCUUCAACGUCAUCCAGUAAAUACUUAUGGAGAGUCUCCCAUGAAUGUGACGUAGCUGCUGGGGAUACAGCACUAAAGAGGACAGAUAGACAGGUCUUUGCCUGCAUGAGAUUUGCAGCAUAUGGUGGAGGCGCGGCAGGGAAUUGGGCAGACAGUGAACAAAAAACUAAUAAAACACCAGAUAGGGAAAAGUCUCUGGAGCCAGGGAGGCAGUGCUAGGAAGGGAAGGUGGCUGGUUUAGACAGCAUGGCCAGGGGAGGCGGCUCUGGGCAGAGACCGGAAUGAGAUGAAGCUGCGAAGACAUGGGGAGAGCAUUGCAACCUGCAUGGCCCAGUACGUAGUCACCAGCCCACGGGCUGCUGCUGACACUGUGAACCAUGUGUCACUGGGCCAAUGAGCUGACCCAAAUUUAGAUGCUGUACGAGUAUGAACUACACACUGGAUUUUCAGGACUUAGUAAAACAAAAAGAAUGUAAAAAAUCUUGAUAAUGUUAUAUUAAUUAUAUAUUGAAUGAUA